rnacentral:rRNA from 1 species
UACGUAGGGUGCGAGCGUUGUCCGGAAUUACUGGGCGUAAAGAGCUCGUAGGUGGUUUGUUGCGUCGGCUGUGAAAUCCCGAGGCUCAACCUCGGGUCUGCAGUCGAUACGAGCAAACUAGAGUGUUGCAGGGGAGACUGGAAUUCCUGGUGUAGCGGUGGAAUGCGCAGAUAUCAGGAGGAACACCAAUGGCGAAGGCAGCUCGCUGGGACGUGACUGACGCUGGAGAACGCGGAAAGCAGUGGGGAGUC